GGGUCUGUGGCCAAGCUGGUAAGGCGUUGGUCUCGUAAACCAAAGAUCGAGGGUUCAAAUCCCUCCAGGCCCU
rfam:Salpingoeca sp. ATCC 50818 unplaced genomic scaffold supercont1.9, whole genome shotgun sequence.